UGCUAUGUACAACCGCCUCGCGUCCUCGCUGCGGCCUCGCAUCCGACGUGGCAAAAAAAUGAAACGGAGUCGUUUUCAUUUCGAACCCCACGUCUUCACGUCCCACUCAUUCUCUUUUCCGAAACGCUUUCGUCUUCGUCUUUUUCUUCUCCAUCCCUAGAAAUCGUCUUCUCCAUCGUCUUCUUCUUCUUCUUCUCCAUCCCUAGAAAUCGUCGUCUUCUCCAUCCAAAGGUCGUACCCAGAAAAAUAGUUGGGUAUUCAGACAAGUUUUGGACUUUUUCUCUAUUGUCGCCUUCUCCGUCGUCUUCUCCAUUACUCUACACAAGUAAAGCUUUUGUACUUAGGGUUAGAGUUCAUGCAACAGGCCUAUAUUCGUGGGUAUUCGGGAAAAAAAAAAAAACUUAUUUCUUAAGGUUGAUCUAGGGAUUUGGCUGUUGUGGGCUUCCGGGAUAUUAAUCCUAAUUUCUAGGUAUUCGGCCAAGUUCUGGACUUUUUCUUCACUUUUUAGAUGGUUGUACAUUUCAGAUUUAUCUCAGAGGGUAUUGAUCGAGGAGCAUGGGACCAUGACCAAAGUAUAAGGGUGGAACUUCCCUUUCCCAGAUAUGAGAUGCUGUGCGUAUAAUGCCUGGCCUUCCUCUUCAAGCCAUUUGAUUAUCUUGUAUAUGUGAAAAAGAGCCUAGGGCGAUUGAUACCCUGUUUGGAAUAAAGAAACUAGAUCGAUAGCUCCUGCAGUCAAUGUGUUUGUAAAUCGAUAUAUAUAUAUAUAUAUUAAGAAAGACUUAAUCAUGGAUAUAUUCUACAAAGCUGCACUGAUUCUAGGGAUGUUAUCAGUGUUUUAUGCCUACAUGAACACCUGGAACAAAUUUGAUGUAAUAUAUUCUCCAUCGUAUGCACUUGUGAUAUAAUAUAUUUGUUAUCA